GGCCACGUGGCGAAAUAGUUAACGCGGCGGUCUGCAAAACCGCUAUUAGCGGGUGCGAUUCCCGCCGUGGCCUCCA
rnacentral:tRNA from 1 species